AUUAAUUAUACCAAACCAUACUACACUAUAUUGAACUAUCCUAUACUCAAUGGUAUUAUGCUAUAAUACAAUAUAACAUACUAUAUUAUACCAUACCUCACUACACUAUAACAUACUACACUAUACUGAGCUAUACUAUACUCAACUGUAUUAUGCUAUAAUACACUAUACCAUACUACACUCUCCAAACACUACACCAUACUUAUAUUAUACCACACUAUAAAACAAUACUAAACUAAACAUACUACACUGCACUGAGCUACCCUGUACUAUAAUAAAAAGAUUUGACUGUAUUUUAAGAAAUAUGUAAUUCUAACAGAUAUUUGACAACUAUCAUCUAUAUGUUUAGUGAACAAGACCCUGAACAUCAUUUCUCUGAACUGAGGCUGUGAAAAAGCACAAGUCAUCAAGGGAGAUGCUGAGAUGGAGUGUUUUGGCCCGGUGCCCUAUUUGAUGCCAAAACAGCCUUCUUUGUAUCUGAUCCAGAUGAGAUGUUCCUGAAGGGUACUCUUCUUACUCUUCUUUGGUAAAGCUACCAUCAAAACUCAUAGUGGGAAGGUGCAUGAGCUGGAGUCUGAAGUCGAGUCUGAACAGAGACGUAGUGCUGAAGCUGUUAAAGGAGUGCGAAAAUAUGAGAGGAGAGUGAAGGAACUCACCUACCAG